UCGCCGGGGGUGAAAGCUGCAAGCCUGGCGCUACUGUGGCGCAGCUCCGCGGGGGACCUCUGCGACCGGCGAGUUUGCCAAGAGCCCCGGCGGCGGCGGCGGCGGCGGCGGCGGCCCGCCCGGGUCUUGUGUGUUGUGGUGGUGGGAGAUAACAAGGAGGACUGGAAGGCACAAAGUAAAGAAAGUGAAAAUCAGAAACCUGUGAAAAGGAGCAUUACCCAUUGCAGUUCGUCAACCUUCCGGCUUCCCUCUAUCUUGGAAUUAUUUGAAAACUAUCAUGAUUUCCACUUUGCUCUUUGAUGUUUGUGUUUUCACGUUCUCCCUUUUUAAAGCAAAUUCCCAAAAUACAAAAGCAUCAUUUGCCAGUUUCCGCCUCAAUUAUUUUAGAACAGCUUAAUUUCACGUGUUAGAAGUGCAGAAAUGAAAAGAAAAGGGAGACACUUUCAGUGUUUCUAGCACACAGCACCUGCGUCUCACACAUCUUUGGGUUUCUGUCUCUGUAUCAUGAACCUUCAGAAUCAGAACUUCAUAAAAAGUUUGACCAAGCACAAAUUGUGCUAGAAGUGCUUUCCUUUGUUGCUGUACACAUGAACAUUAAUUUAUAGGCAAUUAUCACUGAUAGCAAACAAGCAAAUACUCUUCUCAUAGUCCCCCUAAAAGAAAACCUGCCAAGGGUGUGGACUUGUCUAGCCCAGUAGGGACCGAAGGAACACGUGGGAGCAGACACAGAAUUUUUGUUUGUUUGUAAAUUUGAAUAAAAUUAAAGGACAAGAAAGCUAGGUUCUGAGGAAAUGAUCAAAGACUUUUAAAAACAAAUACCAAUGAAUGAUAGGAGGAACCUUGGUUUUUCAGUCUUUAGAUACCUAUAUCGCUUCACAGGAGUUGCAAAGAAAUACAAGCCAAAAUAGAUUAAUGUAAUGAAAACAAAGGAAGAUUUAUUUUAGUGUCAGUGGAGAUACCUGUCUUUGGACAGUUUGCUUUAAACUUUUGGUUUAGCUAGGGAGUGCUAGGUUGAUUUAAUGAUAAAAUACAUUUGGGGGAAGAACAGAAUUGGAAUCUAGUUAAGUAGAGACUUAAAGGGAAACUUGGUGAGCCUCGUAUAACCCCAAAUAACAAUGAGAUCAAGCUGGGUCUGAUGCUUAGUGCCAGUGAAACACACAAUGGAUUUCUUUAGUUGAUUGUUAACAGUAUUUGAACAUCUGACUCUCCAGUUUUUAUAUUCUCCCAGGAUUUUAUGUUUUUAUGACUCACUGAAAGGGUACAUGUUUUCCUUUGACAAAAUCCAAAUCUUCUAUACUGUCUGUGAGUGAUAAGUUAAUAAUGCAUAUUUAAGUAUAUUCUAUACAGAUGCUUAGUAAUGGUAAAAUUGUAUUAAGGUAAACUGCACGCUUCAUAUUCUGGAACUUUCCUGCAAAAGGAAAAACCAUUCCAACGAUGGCAAGAAACUUAGGAUUGUGUACAUAUUCAAACAUUGCUAUAAAUCAAUUUCUAAUCAUUAAAUGUAAAAACAUCA